CAAUAGCGUAUAUUAAAGUUGUUGCAGUUAAAAAGCUCGUAGUUGGAUUUCUGGUGGGAGCGAUCGGUCUGGCGCUUAGCGCGAGUACUUGCAUCGUCUCCGGCCAUCCUUGGGGAGAGUCUGUCUGGCAUUAAGUUGUCGGGCAGAGGAUCCUCAUCGUUUACUGUGAAAAAAUUAGAGUGUUCAAAGCAGGCUUAUGCCGUUGAAUAUAUUAGCAUGGAAUAAUAAGAUAGGACUUUGGUACUAUUUUGUUGGUUUGCGCACCAAAGUAAUGAUUAAUAGGGACAGUUGGGAGUAUUCGUAUUCCGUUGUCAGAGGUGAAAUUCUUGGAUUUACGGAAGACGAACUACUGCGAAAGCAUUUACCAAGGAUGUUUUCAUUAA
rnacentral:rRNA from 1 species